UACGUAGGGGGCAAGCGUUGUCCGGAUUUAUUGGGCGUAAAGCGCACGCAGGCGGUGCAGUAAGUUCAGAGUGACAGGUGGUGGCUUAACUACCACAGGCCUCGGGAAACUGCUGCACUUGAGGGCUUGAGAGGGACGCGGAAUUCCAGGUGGAGCGGUGAAAUGCGUAGAGAUCUGGAAGAACACCAAAGGCGAAGGCGGCUCUCUGGUACGGAACUGACGCUGAGACGCGAAAGCGUGGGGAGCGAACAGG
rnacentral:rRNA from 1 species